UAAACAACUAUAUAUAUAUGGGAUACAAAAAUUGCAAAUAUAUUUCUAGAGUUAAAUUUUGUUAGUGAACUGCAAUUGUUAUCUUUGUGAAAUUAUUAUUUGCUCUUUCAAAUAUACCCUUCUAUCAUCAUCAAUUUUUCUUAUUUACUUUUAAGUUAGGGACAAAAAAAGUAUUUUUAUUUUUUACCUUUCAAAUAUACUUUUUUACUAUCACCAACUUUUCUUAUUUAUCUUUAAGUUAAGGACAAAAGAAGUAUUUGAUUUUUUUUACCUCUAGUGAAAAUUUAAUCCAGAUUUAACUGAAAAACUUAACAGGUACGUACUAAUAGCUGAAAAACUUAAAAGGUACUGAAAAACUUUGUUUAUUUGCUUUUAAGUUAAGGGCGAAAGAAAUACUUUUACUUUUUACCUUUUCAAAUAUACCCUUCUAUCAGCACUAAUUUUUCUUAUUUGCCUUUAAGUUAAGGACAAAAGAGGUUUUUGAUUUUUUUUUAACUCUAGUGAAAAUUUAAUUCGGAUUUAAUUGAAAAAAUUUAACAGGUACUAGUAACUGGAAUAUUUUUUAAUAAAGGAAAAUAUACCAUCUGAAAUAAAAAAAAAGGAGUGUUUAGAAUUCCGUAUAAUUGGUGGGGUCUUCAUACAAUUUUACCAAAAUGGUGGGCACCGCCUAUGAUUAAUUUGGCUCCGCUGUGUACAAAAGCAUUUGGGUUAUUUGUAUACACGUCCCUGCAAAUAUAGUGAAUUGCAGAUAUAUCCCUGCAAAAUCGAAAUUCCAUAAGUUGUCCCUGCAAAAGUCCAAAGUUAUGCAGAUAUAUCCCUGCGGUCAACAUCUGUUAGUGAACUUUUUAUUUUUUAACAGUUGAAGCGUGAAAUGACAUUUUUGCCCUUACAAAUAUAUCCCUCCAAAAGUCCUAACUGAUAAACAUUUGCAAAAAUAUCCUCGCAAAAAUGCCAACAGUCAUUUUUGUUCUUUAUAAGUGAAAUGUCCAUUUUGCCCUCACAAAUAUAUCCCUCUAAAACCCAAAGUAAUAAAGUUGUACAGAAAUGUCCCCAAAAAUGACCCUAACGGUCAUCUUCUUCCUCUAUAAAUUCAUCACUCCAUUGCAACAUACCAUAUAACUCUUUUUUUGCUCUUUUCUCCUUUAUUGAUCCACUAUUUUCCUUCUCUUAUUUUGAUCUGUUAAAUCGCAACAAUUUUAUUUUUCGAUUUUUUUUCUCUUCUAAUAUUUUUAUGAUGAGUGAAAGAUCAGCGGAUUCUUCUUCGAGCAACCAAAUCCCUAAGUGCGAUUGCUUUAAAACUUGUAGAAUUUGGGUU
rnacentral:lncRNA from 1 species